AACCUGCAUUCAGAAUCAAGAAGUUAGCUUUUUAGAUUGUGUUGAAUAAUCCAUAAUCAAAGACGAUAAAGAAAAGAAUCAUCAAUCAUAUGUAUAUAUAUACUUUGAUCGGAAACCCUUCCAGGGUGCCAAAGUUGACAAAAGAAGAUGCCGCCUUUAGCAUGAACAGCAUCUACGAUGGGUUUCCAGGCAUCGAUGUGUUCUUUUGACCAUAUACCAGCAGAUGAAAUAAUGGUGGCUUCUGCAAUCAGAAACCCCCCUUUCGUGGUUCUUUGGGAGUAAUAUAAGAUAGCAUGCGAUUGAGGAAUGCUAUUGUAAGAUCUAAACCUUGUUAAUGGUGCUAAUACGAUCCUGCAAAUUAAUCAUCAAAUUAGUGAAUUACCACUGGAAGUCAACUUGUAAAUCAAUCAUGCAUAUUGUGUAAAGUUUGAAUCUUUAUGAGUAUGAAUUAGACGAAAGAUGUAUGAACAAAUAUGGAUUAGUAAACAAAAGAGAAUCAAUUUACCUGUGAGCAA